rnacentral:rRNA from 1 species
UACGGGGGGGGCAAGCGUUGUUCGGAAUUACUGGGCGUAAAGGGCUUGUAGGUGGCCAACUAAGUCAGACGUGAAAUCCCUCGGCUUAACCGGGGAACUGCGUCUGAUACUGGAUGGCUUGAGUUUGGGAGAGGGAUGCGGAAUUCCAGGUGUAGCGGUGAAAUGCGUAGAUAUCUGGAGGAACACCGGUGGCGAAGGCGGCAUCCUGGACCAAUACUGGCACUGAAAAGCGAAAGCCAGGGGAGCAAACGGG